UUGACCUCGGAUCAGGUAGGGAUACCCGCUGAACUUAAGCAUAUCAAUAAGCGGAGGAAAAGAAACCAACAGGGAUUGCCUCAGUAACGGCGAGUGAAGCGGCAAAAGCUCAAAUUUGAAAUCUGGCUCCUUCGGGGCCCGAGUUGUAAUUUGCAGAGGAUGCUUCGGGCGUGGCCGCGGUCUAAGUCCCCUGGAACGGGGCGUCGCAGAGGGUGAGAAUCCCGUCUUCGGCCGGCCGGCUUCGCCCAUGUGAAGCUCCUUCGACGAGUCGAGUUGUUUGGGAAUGCAGCUCUAAAUGGGUGGUAAAUUUCAUCUAAAGCUAAAUAUUGGUCGGAGACCGAUAGCGCACAAGUAGAGUGAUCGAAAGAUGAAAAGCACUUUGAAAAGAGAGUUAAACAGCAUGUGAAAUUGUUGAAAGGGAAGCGCUUGCGACCAGAGUCGGCCGCGGGGGUUCAGCGGGCAUUCGUUGCCCGUGCACUCCCCCGCGGGCGGGCCAGCGUCGGUUUCGACGGCCGGUCAAAGGCCCCCGGAAUGUGUCGCCUCUCGGGGCGUCUUAUAGCCGGGGGUGCAAUGCGGCCAGUCGGGACCGAGGAACGCGCUUCGGCACGGACGCUGGCUUAAUGGUCGUAAGCGACC
rnacentral:rRNA from 1 species